rnacentral:lncRNA from 1 species
UUUCUCCCACUCCUGGGGAGACCAUCUCAGAGAAGUUAGCGAAUUGGUUCAUGGGAAGAGGCAAGCCCAGGAGUACCAGCUCCAGAGCCUGGGUUUGAACCACUGCACCACCCUCCCUCAUGGAAAGAGGGGACCCUUGCGUAGGACAAAGUCAGAGUGCCCAGAGGCUCUAUGGAGAAGAGCUAAGGAAGGCAUCUCAGGUGGACAGAGCUCAGGAAGAGGAGGCAAGCAGUAGGACAGCAAGGGCAAGACUAACCACCACUCCAUGGACUCGCCUGGAAUCACUGGGAGAUGUGAUAGGGGAGGAAUCAUCUGGAAUCAACACUCAGUCCCGGAGGUUCAGAGUGGAUAACCAGUAAUGGGUGAAGAACAAGCUGUAUGGAAGCAAGGCCACACACAUGGGAGGAAGGGCAGGACCGUAUCUGGGGACAGGGAAAGGAAGGGAAAAGGCAAAAAGACAAGCAAACUCCCAGGGUCAUGUGUUGGGAGACCAGCCAGCAUAUGGGCCUUGGACAGACACCUCUCCUCCUCCUCCAGCCCCUCUACAGAUGCCCAGAAGUGACAGCAACCACCUCACCCAGCUCAUCUUGCCCAAGGACAAAUGGAUUUCACAGUUGGGGAGGAAGGGGCAUGAUGCUGGCUCAUCAGCCAUGACCCACCUAUGGUCUCUGCUUUCCCCACCCUGGUCAUAGCCACAGCUUCCCUCCUGCCCAAGCCCCC